rnacentral:rRNA from 1 species
UCAUAUUUGCAGGUAAGGUCUCUGACUCUCGAUGUUAGAGUCUGGUAGCCAUCUGUAACCAAUCUCUUUCAAUCAUUAGGCUACAUGUUUGUGAACAGAGUUUGGGAAGAAACAUUACCUUCAUCAAACAAUGGUACUAAUGGAUCACAUGCAGCACAAUACUUCACCACCAGUAAGCCUAAACACUCGGAUCCUUUCUCUGCCAAAGAGAAGUUUAUUCAUGCCAAGGUACUUGCGAGUUAUCCUUUUGCAAUUGCUUCUCUGCACUUCUCCCAUUAUUAG